rnacentral:rRNA from 1 species
GAAACUUAAAAAAGAGGUGUCACCAUAGUAAAAAAAGGGGGGAAAAAUUAAUGGGGUUGGAGACCUGGCUCUCCGGAAAAGGAAAUUAGAAAACGAUUCUGGAUAUGGAGCCUGAGAAACGCUACUACAUCUACGGAAGGCAGCAGGCGCGUAAAUUACCCAAUCCUGACUCAGGGAGGUGGUGACAAGAUAUAACACCGCCCAAUCAUUGUGAUUGUAGUGAGGGUAUUCCAAACCGAACCACUAGUACGAUUAGAGGGCAAGUCAGGCGCCAGAACCGCGGAAAAACAGCUCUAACAGCGUAUAUUAAAGGGCUGCACCCCCCCCCUCGUAGUUGGAUCUAAGGAUUGUGUCUCUUCAGAGAUGCAGGGUGCUAGCCCUGUCCGCACCUGAGAAUUCCCUCCCCAACCCUUAAAAAACCUUCCCUUCUUCCCUUCUUUCUCCUUUUUCUAUUUUUUUUUC